GACGAACGCUGGCGGCGUGCUUAACACAUGCAAGUCGAACGUGAUUUUUGUGGAAAUUCUUUCGGGAAUGGAAAUGAAAUGAAAGUGGCGAACGGGUGAGUAACACGUGAGCAACCUACCUUACACAGGGGGAUAGCCGUUGGAAACGACGAUUAAUACCGCAUGAGACCACAGAAUCGCAUGAUAUAGGGGUCAAAGAUUUAUCGGUGUAAGAAGGGCUCGCGUCUGAUUAGCUAGUUGGAAGGGUAAAGGCCUACCAAGGCGACGAUCAGUAGCCGGUCUGAGAGGAUGAACGGCCACAUUGGAACUGAGACACGGUCCAAACUCCUACGGGAGGCAGCAGUGGGGAAUAUUGCACAAUGGGGGGAACCCUGAUGCAGCGACGCCGCGUGAGCGAAGAAGGUUUUCGAAUCGUAAAGCUCUGUCCUAUGAGAAGAUAAUGACGGUAUCAUAGGAGGAAGCCCCGGCUAAAUA
rnacentral:rRNA from 1 species